rnacentral:rRNA from 1 species
AGUCACUGACAUUAGAUACCCGUGUAGUCCAGGGUGUAAACGCUGCAGACUUGGUGUUGGGAACCCUUCGGGGGUGCUCAGUGCCGGAGAGAAGUUGUUAAGUCUGCUACUUGGGGAGUACGUCCGCAAGGAUGAAACUUAAGGAAUUGGCGGGGGAGCACCGCAACGGGAGGAGCGUGCGGUUUAAUUGGAUUCAACGCCGAAAAACUCACCAGCAGCGACUGUUACAUGAAAGUCAGGUUGAUGACCUUACUAGAUUUUCAG